UCAUUGUAAAUAAGAAUGUGUUAACUGAUUUGCCUAGUUAAAUAAAGGUAAAAUAAAAAUAAAUGUCUGACUACAACAGUGUAUUAACAAGCAGCAAUAAACUCAAACCAACUCAGGGCCAUAGCAAAACAUGUCUAAUCCAAUCUGGAGCCAGUCAGUCUACAUCUUUAAAGCAAAGAAUUAGCUUCCAAACGAGAUUACCUUAUUUCUUGAGCUAUGUUUAUAAUUGAGGGAUGAUGGCAAUUGUUGUCACUUUGUCUAACAGAAAAACAGAGUCCAGUUGGGUGCCAGACUGAUCCCCUGGUCAUGAACAGAUGAGGGAACCUACCAGAAGGUGCAAAUUUGUGUCAUGCGAUGCAAGUACCCUUGUGACACCUCCUCCUAUGAAAAGGACAAUCCAUCAUUGGCCUCUGAUAGUGACCCGAGUUACUGCCCUGAUGACACAGACAGCUUCAUCAACAACGACAGGCCCUCCCAGUCAACACCACCUCAUAAGAUUGCCUGCUGCAGUUUCUCAAGAGAUUUCCAGUUUGCAGCUGAACAUGCAGGUUAAGGAAGACCAGCAAGGGGGCCCUCAUCAGCAUCAUGCAGACAUGCCCUCGCUGUGAGCAUUCCUAGGAAUGGAACAGUUAGCCACAUGUUGGCAAUUAUCCAGCCAGCCACUUUCACCUGUCAGUGGCAACAGCUUUCACAGGCUCAUCAUUUGUACAAAUACAGAAGUAUCUUUGAUAAGGGGCCAGGUGCUGAUCUACGCUGCUAUGCCCAUCAAUGGGGCGCUGGCAAAGACCUCACCUCCAGCCUCACCUCUUGUCUGCUCACCAACUGUCAUCGAUGGGGAGAACAUAUUUUGAAACAUGUAUGGAGCCAGCACAUGGAGAUGAUGUGAU